GGCCGGUUCCAAGUGCAGUGGUGUUUACAACUAAUUGAUCCCAAUCAGUUACAGAUUCAUUUUUUCCUUCUCCAUUCACAUUGCUUCACCUGACCAGCCUUAU
ensembl:misc_RNA Y_RNA Y RNA